GACGAACGCUGGCGGCGUGCCUAAUACAUGCAAGCCGAGCGAGCUUGCCUAGAUGAAUUUGGUGCUUGCACCAAAUGAAACUAGAUACAAGCGAGCGGCGGACGGGUGAGUAACACGUGGGUAACCUGCCCAAGAGACUGGGAUAACACCUGGAAACAGAUGCUAAUACCGGAUAACAACACUAGACGCAUGUCUAGAGUUUAAAAGAUGGUUCUGCUAUCACUCUUGGAUGGACCUGCGGUGCAUUAGCUAGUUGGUAAGGUAACGGCUUACCAAGGCAAUGAUGCAUAGCCGAGUUGAGAGACUGAUCGGCCACAUUGGGACUGAGACACGGCCCAAACUCCUACGGGAGGCAGCAGUAGGGAAUCUUCCACAAUGGACGCAAGUCUGAUGGAGCAACGCCGCGUGAGUGAAGAAGGGUUUCGGCUCGUAAAGCUCUGUUGGUAGUGAAGAAAGAUAGAGGUAGUAACUGGCCUUUAUUUGACGGUAAUUACUUAGAAAGUCACGGCUAACUACGUGCCAGCAGCCGCGGUAAUACGUAGGUGGCAAGCGUUGUCCGGAUUUAUUGGGCGUAAAGCGAGUGCAGGCGGUUCAAUAAGUCUGAUGUGAAAGCCUUCGGCUCAACCGGAGAAUUGCAUCAGAAACUGUUGAACUUGAGUGCAGAAGAGGAGAGUGGAACUCCAUGUGUAGCGGUGGAAUGCGUAGAUAUAUGGAAGAACACCAGUGGCGAAGGCGGCUCUCUGGUCUGCAACUGACGCUGAGGCUCGAAAGCGUGGGUAGCGAACAGG
rnacentral:rRNA from 1 species